rnacentral:tRNA from 1 species
GGGGGUGUAGCUCAUUUGGCAGAGCGCGUCAUUAGCAUCGUUUAAACCAAAGAUUAUUGACGAGGUACUGGGUUCAAUUCCCAGCUCCUCCA